rnacentral:lncRNA from 1 species
UCUUCCAAUGGACAAUGACCCGAAACAUACUUCCAAAGUUAUGGCAAAAUGGCUUAAGGACAACAUAGUCAUGGUAUUGGAGUGGCCAUAACAAAGUCCUGACCGCAAUCCUAUAGAAAAUGUGUGAGGCAGAACUGAAAAAGCAUGUGCGAGCAAGGAGGCCUACAAACCUGACUCAGUUACACCAGCUCUGUCAGGAGGAAUGGGCCAAAAUUCACCCAACUUAUUGUGGAAGGAUACUCGAGACGUUUGACCCAAGCUAAACAAUUUAAAGGCAAUGCUACCAAAUACUUAUUGAGUGUAUGUAAACUUCUGACCCACCUGGGAAUGUGAUGAAAGAAAUGAAAGCUUAAAUAAAUUACUCUCUCUUUUAUUCUGACAUUUCACAUUAUUGAAAAUAAAGUGGUGAUCCUAACUGACCUAAGACAGGGAAUUUUUACUAGGAUUAAAUGUCAGGAAUUGUGGAAAAACUGAGUUUAAAUGUUUUUGGCUAAGGUGUAUGUAAACUUCAGACUUCAACUGUAUGUAAUGUAUGUCAUUCACUCGUUAAGGUCUGAAGAAGACAGGUUGAAAGAUUGAAAACGGCGGCAAAAACAAAGCACACUACAGGAUGAUGUAGAUGACUCCCCCCUCCCCCCAAGAAGUCACAGCAGGUCACAUCAGCAUCCAGCUUUGCAAGAGCAGGUACUGUGUAGGCCAUUAGCUAAAGUAAGGUGCAUUCUUGUACAAACAUCCCUAGAGGUUCCCUUACAUUACUUAAUGACCACAAUCUAUUUUCUUUCUAGACCAUACUAAAAAUGAAAUGCACGGCGAACUGGGAGCUGUGAACUGGGAUGCAGAUUUUCUCCUAAGGGACACCCUAGUGGCAGCAAGGUGGUGUGAACGCCAAACAUUUAAAGGCACUGUUUCCCUCCCUAGUGCAAUUGGGAUGGACGGGGAAGACCGCAUUUACAACCCUUAAAUAACUACGGUUGUAUGAUGGCCUGGAUGAAUAGGAAAAUAUUCUCCUCAAGGAACUGACCGUCUUUGCCUCUUUUGAGGAGCAGGAGUGAAGCUAUUUUUGAGGAGUGGUCAAACCUUGUUUUUGUCUGCUGUGUUAAUUGUUUCAAUUGUUAAUUGUGUUAUUUAGUAAAGAUGACGUAGCAGUCACCCGAGUCUCUGGUCUCUUUACUGGAGCUGGUAUAACUGUCUAUAUGGUAUAGUCUGUUUCCAUUCUCAUGAGGAAAGUAAAUAGCAUUAUAAAUCAGGAUAGGUAGUAAG